AGCUUAUUUUGCGCAGGCGGAAUUCGACCGCUACUGGAAAAGAUAAUGCCGUUAAUACACAACCUUAGCGCUAAGUAUGGGGUCGAAUCGGUAUCAUCGACGAUGGAAACCCCA
rnacentral:ncRNA from 1 species